AUUGAACGCUGGCGGCAGGCUUAACACAUGCAAGUCGAACGAGUGGCGGACGGGUGAGUAAUGCUUGGGAAUCUAGCUUAUGGAGGGGGAUAACUACGGGAAACUGUAGCUAAUACCGCGUACCAUAGAAUGAGCCCACGUGGGAUUAGGUAGUUGGUGAGGUAAAGGCUCACCAAGCCGACGAUCUCUAGCUGGUCUGAGAGGAUGACCAGCCACACUGGGACUGAGACACGGCCCAGACUCCUACGGGAGGUAGCAGUGGGUGAUAUUGCGCAAUGGGGGCAACCCUGACACAGCCAUGCCGCGUGAAUGAAGAAGGCCUUCGGGUUGUAAAGUACUUUCAGCGGGGAGGCGUUACCCGCAGAAGAAGCACCGGCUAACUCCGUGCCAGCAGCCGCGGUAAUUC
rnacentral:rRNA from 1 species